CCAAGAAAAUAAAGGCGAUCUAUUUGAGGAAGUGAUUCCAAGAAAAAGGAAGUGAUCACAAGAAAAGGGAAGAGAUCACAAGAAAAGGGAAGAGAUCAUAAGAAAGGUGAACAGUGAAACGAAAAGAGAAGAAAGUACAAGGAUAUGUCACCCUGUCUAUUUGCCUGUGACUAAACCCAUGUAACCUGAUUGGCCUCCUAAAACCCUUUCAUCUAAUCUACUCAUCGAGAUUCUUCUUCUCCUUCAAAUGAAUCCCCAGUUUAAUCUUCAGAUGGGCUGAGUAAUCAAUGGUUCAGAAAGAAAUAUUCAAAAGGAGCCAUACAACAGAAAGUGGUGUACAUCAGAAUCUUUAAGAGCUUUUAUUAGGAUGCUCUCAUGGAUGAUGGUGGGAGAGGGAGUAGAAAAGAAAGAGGAAAGGCAGAGAGGUAUAGAAGGAGAGAGGGAAAAACAGAGGCUACCAGUUAGAGAAACAUAUCGCAUGUUUUGAAAAAGAAGAGAGAUCAUUUUAAGCUUAUGGGUAAAAGACACAGGUAAGAUACAAUUUUAACAUCUUUUCCUUCUACAACCAUUGUCUAGUCUAGAAUAAAGCCUGAAAGUCUAAAGUUUGUCAUGUCUAGCAAAAAAA